rnacentral:rRNA from 1 species
GAUGAACGCUGACAGAAUGCUUAACACAUGCAAGUCGAUUCGAUUUACCUUCGGGUAUUGAGGAUGGCGGACGGGUGAGUAACGCGUAAGAAACUUGCCUCUUGGUCUGGGACAACUGUUGGAAACGACAGCUAAUACCGGAUAUUAUGAGAUUCUCGCAUGGGAAACUUAUGAAAGCUAUAUGCGCCAAGAGAGAGCCUUGCGUUCCAUUAGCUAGUUGGUGGGGUAACGGCCCACCAAGGCGGCGAUGGAUAGCCGGCCUGAGAGGGUGAACGGCCACAAGGGGACUGAGACACGGCCCUUACUCCUACGGGAGGCAGCAGUGGGGAAUAUUGGACAAUGGACCAAAAGUCUGAUCCAGCUAUUCUGUGUGCACGAUGAAGGUCUUCGGAUUGUAAAGUGCUUUCAGUUGGGAAGAAGCAAGUGACGGUACCAACAGAAGAAGCGACGGCUAAAUACGUGCCAGCCGCCGCCGUAA